AUGAUUUUUUAAGCAAACCAAGCUUUUUUUAUGAAAGUAAGGUUUUGCGAACAUAUAUUUAAAACCCCACUCUUUUAAAUAAAUUUUCAUUCAUAUGUUAUGAAUAAAAAAAAGA
rnacentral:misc_RNA from 1 species